GCUGAUGUGGCUCAGUUGGUAGAGCAGCUGAUUCGUAAUCAGCAGGUCGCGGGUUCGAGUCCCGCCAUCAGCUCCA
rnacentral:tRNA from 1 species